UACGAAGGGGGCUAGCGUUGUUCGGAAUUACUGGGCGUAAAGCGCACGUAGGCUGAUGAUUAAGUCAGGGGUGAAAUCCCAGGGCUCAACCCUGGAACUGCCUUUGAUACUGGUCGUCUUGAGUACGAGAGAGGUGAGUGGAAUUCCGAGUGUAGAGGUGAAAUUCGUAGAUAUUCGGAAGAACACCAGUGGCGAAGGCGGCUCACUGGCUCGUAACUGACGCUGAGGUGCGAAAGCGUGGGGAGCAAACAGG
rnacentral:rRNA from 1 species